GGCAGCACCCAGUGGCGGUGUGAACUGUGAGGAAUUCACCGAGUUCCAGGAAUUACUCAAGGUGAUGAGGCCUAUCGAUGACAGAAUAGUACAUGAAUUAAACACUGUGGUUCCAACAGCUUCCUUUGCAGGGAAAAUUGAUGCCAGCCAAACCUGUAAACAACUUUAUGAGUCUUUGAUGGCAGCUCAUGCCAGUAGAGACAGAGUCCAAAAAAAUUGUAUAGCCCAGACUUCAGCAGUAGUAAAAAACCUCUGAGAAGAGAGAGAAAAGAAUUUGGACGAUUUAACGUUAUUAAAGCAACUUAGAAAAGAGCAGACAAAGUUGAAAUGGAUGCAGUCAGAACUGAAUGUUGAAGAAGUGGUAAAUGACAGGAGCUGGAAGGUGUUUAAUGAAUGCUGCUGAAUUCAUUUCAAGCCUCCAAAGAAUGAA
rnacentral:lncRNA from 1 species